rnacentral:sRNA from 1 species
AUCUUCGCAGCAUCAUAAGCCGUGCAGCUACCUCCUUCAUAUCAGGUCGUUCCUCAAUCUUUUCUUUUAAACAAUCCAUUGCCAACCUACCAAUUUCUUCUAAGAUCAAGACAUCUUCUUCAAUUGCAAUCUCCUUAUCAAACAAUGCUCUCCCACUAUUUUCUCGAUCAUACGCCUUUUGGAACUCAAUGACAAGGCUAUAGUUCUUGUCAUAUAUUGUUGGCUUUCUGCUAAUGAGCUCCAACAACACAACUCCAAAACUAUAUACAUCACUCUUCUGUGUUAAAUGACCAGUCAUAUAGAAGAUUGGGUCUAUGUAGCCCAUGCUCCCUGCCACAACCAUGGUAAAUUCUUUGUCUGCAGUAAGAAGCUUGGAUGUUCCAAAGUCUGAGAUCUUCGCAAUGAACUUAUCAGUUAGAAGUAUGUUAGCUGGCUUAAUAUCACCGUGUCGUAUGGUAUGACUUAUGGACGAGUGCAUGUACCUUAGACCUUCUGCAGAUUGAACUGCAAUAUCUAGGCGUAGGUCUAGUGAUAGAGGAACUAGACGAUUCGCAUCACCAUGGAGAAUGUCUUUGAGACUGCCAUUAGCGGCAAACUCGUACACUAACAUUGGAACAUCCACUUCCAAGCAGCAACCCAAAAGCUUGAUAAUGUUAUUGUGCAUCAUUUGCGAUUGUAUGAUAACUUCGUUUGUGAAAUCCUCUUUUCGAGCUUCAUUUACCUCAAUGGAAGUCUUCACAGCCACCAGGGUAUCAUCUUUUAGUCUCCCUUUGUAAACCUUACCAAAUCCUCCUUCACCAAUAAUAUCAGAAUUGUUCUUUAGGAUUUUCUUAACCUCAUCUUUGGAGAAAAUCAUGAUAUUGUCCACUUUCUGUAAUACUGAACCACCAUUCUUCUUGAAAUAUUUGUUCAUUUUUCUCUUUUGAAGCAUCAUUAGUGUGAAAAGAACAACAACAAUCAGGAAGGAUAAUCCUAAAGCAAAUACCAACAGCAAGCCGUGCUGGAAAAGGAAAUUUUGAACUGCACUCCUGUUUCUUUGGACCAUCACCACUUGGCUGGUAACCCGUGUGGCAGCGGCACUCGUAAUCUCCUGGAGUGUUCCUACAGACACCGUGGCAAGGAUACUUGUUGGGGUUUACCUUUGCAUCCUUUAUUGGGAUCGUCGUCGUAAGGGUUACCCUCGUAGCCACUGCUGCAGUUGCAGUAGUAUCCGAGGCCGUUGGUGGAGUUGACGCACGUGCUGUUGACGCUCACGCAGGCGUAUCCAGCUGGCAUAUUCUUCUUCGACGUCUCCACCUCCGGCGCCGGGCAGGACGCCACGUCGCGGAUGGCCCAGUCCAGCCACACCGGCAUCCUCUGUUUCCGGUCCAUGUUGAGAUCAGACCUCUGGAAUUGGUACUCUUCCUUGUCGACGAGGAAGGCGUAGUCGCAGGGGCUGAAGUCCACCUGUUCGCCGCGCGGCCAUUGCUGGAAGGUGACGACGUUGUCGGUGAGCUCCGGCGGGAUGUCGACGUGGCAGCAGCCGACGCCGGCGCACUUGCCGUUCUUGGCGCUCAGCGAGUCGCUGCAGUAGGUGACGCAGCCGGCGUAGUAGAGGCUUGUGUAGAGGCCUUUUCCCUCGCUGUCCCCGUGCUUGUUCCAUGCCACGGUGUUGCAUCCCAGGACGACGAACUUGUUGCGCUCGUCGGAGAUGCGGUACACGCCGGUCUUGUUCAGCUCCACGUCGCCGUAGAACUGCUCGGUGACGUUGCCGCUGGAGUUGUAGCACCUGUACGCCACCGGCAGCAUCACCUUCACCUCCGGCCGUGGGAACACCGUCAGAUUCUGCACCUGGAUGGUGUCGUUGGCGGCGGCGAGGGUGGGCACCAAGCCGCCGUUGCUUGUGUUGCAAGCGAUCUCGAAGCCCGCGCUGCGGAAGCAGCCGCCGCCGAUGCCGAACGGGUAUGGAAUGUCGACGUCGCCGCACCUCGCCUGGCAGCCGGCAGGCCGGCCGGCGAUGCCCACGG